GGCUCAGUAACACGUAGUCAAUCUGCCCUUAGGACGGGGAUAACCCUGGGAAACUGGGGCUAAUAUCCGAUAGGUGGAAGCGCCUGGAAUGGUCUUCCGUCGAAAAGUUCUUGGGAACAUGCUUCCGAGAGCGCCUAAGGAUGAGACUGCGGCCGAUCAGGCUGUUGGUGGGGUAACGGCCCACCAAACCUAUAACCGGUACGGGCCCUGAAAGGGGGAGCCCGGAGAUGGGAACUGAGACAAGGUCCCAGGCCCUACGGGGCGCAGCAGGCGCGAAACCUCCGCAAUGCGCGAAAGCGUGACGGGGUUACCCCGAGUGCCGUCCGUUGAGGAUGGCUUUUCCUUAGUGUAAGGAGCUAGGGGAAUAAAGGGGGGGCAAGUCUGGUGUCAGCCGCCGCGGUAAUACCAGUCCCCUGAGUGAUAGGGACGAUUAUUUAGCCUAAAGCGUCCGUAGCCGGUUUAGCAAGUCUUUCGUUAAAUCUGACGACUUAAUCGCCAGGCCGCGGAAGAUACUGCUAGGCUUGAGGGCGGGAGANGUNGACGGUAGUCCCGGAGUAGGGGUGAAAUNCUAUAAUCCCGGGAGGACCACCAGUGGCGANNGCNGUCACCAGAACGCGCNUGACNGUGAUGGACGAAAGCUGGGGGAGCGACCGGAUUAGACACCNNGNUAGUCCAGCUGUAACGAUGCGG
rnacentral:rRNA from 1 species